rnacentral:lncRNA from 1 species
GAGCGGUGGGAGCAGCGCUCGUCCGCCGUUGGGGCCCCCAGCCCGCGCGCGUGAAGCAGCUAGCCGACCAAGCCCCGGAAGGCGAGUGCCGGAGGGGGCGGGACAGCUCCUCCGGGGCCAGCGGGCACCAGGCUUGGGGGCUGAGGCCCAGCGGCCCGAGACCAACUGGGCUGACCGAGGCCGCCUCCCCGCCAGCCCUGGGGUCCACUGCCCGGGGAGCAGCUCCCUUCCCAGGUCAGACUCGGGCUUCAUCCUCUCUUGCCGCGCGCCGAGCGGUUUUCAACUCUCACUGCUAGAAUUCCUCCAACCACCCAGGAUAGCAGGACCGAGAUACAUGGCCACCCAUGACCCGGAGCGUCCACUUCCAGGGACAGGCAGUGGUGAUUGGCUUCGGUUGUCAUCUGUGCCAUCUGUCCAUGGUUCGAGAAGCUGCUGUUCACGUUUUGGGGAGGAUCAUGGUUUGAGGGCUCCCGUGGUAGAAUUUGGGGAGCUCUCAUAGGCAGAAGGCUGAGAAAAGUUGGUGCUGUGGGAAGUCAACUGGCAGCCGAUGGAGUCGGGACCCGGGAGGAAUGGAAAGGGAACCCAGAUAGGAAGCUACUGCAGUAGGCUCAGAGAGGUGAUGACGGCAGGGCUAAGACAGCGGCCUUGGGCGGUGACUGGGAAGAACGUUGAACACCGUGUUUGGGCUGAAGAAAAGAGCAAGGGAAGAGUCCCAGCUGCUCUGGAGUUUGAGGCAGGAGGAUGGCUUGAACCCAAGAGGUGGAGGCUGAAGUGAGCCAAGAUCGCGCCACUGCACUCCAGCCUGGGCGACAGGGCAAAACCCUGUCUCUAAAAAGAACUUUUUAAAAAAGCACCUGUAGAUUUAAGCACAUAAUAACUACACUUUUGUCUGUUUUAUUAUGAUAUCAAAGUUAAAUUUAUGAUGAAUGACUAACUGGACAAAACUGAGAGCAACCACCACAGAGGUGAAUAUACUGAAUGUAUAACACUCUCUAAUAAUUUUAAGAACUCCGCUCUAAUGAGCAGAUAUCACAGAAAGAGACUUUUCAGAUGAAAUACCGAUGACCAGGAAAUCUGUGAGACCAUUUUAAAAAAUUCGAAGUCAUUGAAGAAAUGCAAAGCUUCCAGGCUCCACUUUUCACUGAUGAAAUUGGCAGAGUUUGGGACAAUGAGAUGUUGCUGUCCCGGGAGUGCGGAUGGGGCUGUGUCCUGUGAUGGCGGUGGGCACUGGCACUCUUGUCCAGAAAGACAUUCACCACUGUGGUUCAAGAAGCACCUCAAAGGUCUUCACCUUGGUCCCUUGUCCACCUCUGCCCGCGGUCUCUCCUCCUUUCAGCCUCCUCUUUCCCACACAGUCCCUCCCGCCCUGGCUUGGUCCCCUUUCUUCUGACUGGGUCAGGCAUGUGGGUGACUCUUUGACUUCCAAGGCUCUGUCUACUUGGCUUUUUUCUUUCACCUGUUCUGCAGAAUAACAGCCUGAUUCGUUCCUCUUUUUGGGUCCUUCACUUCCAUACCUGGGAUUCGGGGCGUGGCCCAGAAAGACCCUGCAGUCUUGCAGUGUGGGGCUGCCAGCAUUUCAUGGCCUCCAAGCUCAGCUGGGCUGAAUGAACGCUGCCAUCCAGCGCUUGGCUCAUUUUCUGUCCCAUUUUCCUGAGUGCUUUUGCCAGACUUACACUUUUCUGAAAGCUACUCCACCCUACCCCAGACACACCCUCUCUCCUCGGAUGACCUGCCUCCUAAUUUCCUGAGAAAACUGGACAUGGCCACCUUUCCCCAGUGUCUGAGGCCCAGGUUGACCCGUGGUCAUGGUCGCUGUCACCACCCACCUGCCUGUAUGACAGAGUGAGACCCUGUCUC